GUUCUUAGUCUGUUCUCAGUCUGUUCUGUUCUCAGUCUGUUCUCGGUCUGUUCUCGCUCUGUUCUUAGUCUGUUCUCAGUCUGUUCUCGGUCUGUUCUCGGUCUGUUCUCAGUCUGUUCUCAGUCUGUUCUCAGUCUGUUCUUAGUCUGUUCUCGGUCUGUUCUCGGUCUGUUCUCAGUCUGUUCUCAGUCUGUUCUUAGUCUGUUCUCGGUCUGUUCUCGGUCUGUUCUCAGUCUGUUCUCAGUCUGUUCUCAGUCUGUUCCUUAUCUGUUCUUAGUCUGUUCUCAGUC
ensembl:lncRNA